rnacentral:misc_RNA from 1 species
GUAGGUGAACCUGCGGAAGGAUCAUUAAAGAGUACCGGAGCUCUCGGGUUCCUACUCCCACCCUAUGUUGACUUUAAAUGUUGCUUUGGUGGACCGGCAACUCUGCCACCGGCCUGGGCUGGAUAGCGUCCGCCAGAGGAUUUUUAAAUUCCUUUGAAUGUGAAUUCUGAGUCUUUGAAAAUUGAAUCAAAACUUUCAACAACGGAUCUCUUGGUUCUG